GUAACGGCGAGUGAAGCGGCAACAGCUCAAAUUUGAAAUCUGGCUCCUUGGGGGGUCCGAGUUGUAAUUUGUAGAGGAUGCUUCGGGCAAGGCUGCGGUCUAAUUUGCUUGGAACAGCGAGUCACAGAGGGUGAGAGUCCCGUCUAGGACCGUGCGCCGCGUCCAGGUGAAGCUCCUUCGACGAGUCGAGUUGUUUGGGAAUGCAGCUCUAAAUGGGUGGUAAAUUUCAUCUAAAGCUAAAUAUUGGCCAGAGACCGAUAGCGCACAAGUAGAGUGAUCGAAAGAUGAAAAGCACUUUGAAAAGAGAGUUAAACAGUAUGUGAAAUUGUUGAAAGGGAAGCGCUUGCAACCAGACUUGCGUGUGACGGUUCCCCCCACCUUCUGGUGGGGCUACUCCGUCAUCUCCAGGCCAGCAUCGGUUCGGGUGGUCGGUCAAAGACUCCGGGAAUGUAUCUACCUCCGGGUCGACUUAUAGCCCGGGGUGCAAUGCGGCCCACCCGGACCGAGGAACGCGCUUCGGCCCGGAUGCUGGCGUAAUGGUUGUAAGCGGCCCGUCUUGAAACACGGACCAAGGAGUCUAACAUCUAUGCGAGUGUUUGGGUGUUAAACCCCUACGCGGAAUGAAAGUGAACGGAGGUAAGAACCCCGUCCGGGGCGCAUUAUCGACCGAUCCUGAUGUUUUCGGAUGGAUUUGAGUAAGAGCAUAGCUGUUGGGACCCGAAAGAUGGUGAACUAUGCCUGAAUAGGGUGAAGCCAGAGGAAACUCUGGUGGAGGCUCGCAGCGGUUCUGACGUGCAAAUCGAUCGUCAAAUUUGGGCAUAGGGGCGAAAGACCAAUCGAACCAUCUGGUAGCUGGUUCCUGUCGAAGUUUCCCUCAGGAUAGCAGUAACGUUUUCAGUUUUAUGAGGUAAAGCGAAUGAUUAGAGGCCUUGGGGUUGAAACAACCUUAACCUAUUCUCAAACUUUAAAUAUGUAAGAAGUCCUUGUUGCUUAAUUGAACGUGGACAUUUGAAUGUAUCGUUACUAGUGGGCCAUUUUUGGUAAGCAGAACUGGCGAUGCGGGAUGAACCGAACGUGAGGUUAAGGUGCCGGAAUGUACGCUCAUCAGACACCACAAAAGGUGUCAAUGCAUCCAGACAGCCGGACGGUGGCCAUGGAAGUCGGAAUCCGCUUAGGAGUGUGUAACAACUCACCGGCCGAAUGCAUUGGCCCUGAAAAUGGAUGGCGCUUAAGCGUGCUACCUAUACCUCGCCGUUGGGGUUGAAAUGAUGCCCCAACGAGUAGGCAGGCGUGGGGGU
rnacentral:rRNA from 1 species